rnacentral:rRNA from 1 species
UACACAUGCAAGUCGAGGGGUAUAGUAGCAAUACUAGAGACCGGCGCACGGGUGCGUAACGCGUAUACAAUCUACCUUUUACAGUGGGAUAGCCCAGAGAAAUUUGGAUUAAUACCACAUAGUAUAUCAUUUUCGCAUGAAGGAGAUAUUAAAGUCACAACGGUAAAAGAUGAGCAUGCGUCCCAUUAGUUAGUUGGUAAGGUAACGGCUUACCAAGACUACGAUGGGUAGGGGUCCUGAGAGGGAGAUCCCCCACACUGGUACUGAGACACGGACCAGACUCCUACGGGAGGCAGCAGUGAGGAAUAUUGGACAAUGGGCGCAAGCCUGAUCCAGCCAUGCCGCGUGCAGGAUGACGGUCCUAUGGAUUGUAAACCGCUUUUAUACGAGAAGAAACCCUCCGACGUGUCGGAGCUUGACGGUAUCGUAAGAAUAAGGAUCGGCUAACUCCGUGCCAGCAGCCGCGGUAAUACGGAGGAUCCAAGCGUUAUCCGGAAUCAUUGGGUUUAAAGGGUCCGUAGGCGGUCAGGUAAGUCAGUGGUGAAAGCCCAUCGCUCAACGGUGGAACGGCCAUUGAUACUGUCUGACUUGAAUUAUUAGGAAGUAACUAGAAUAUGUAGUGUAGCGGUGAAAUGCUUAGAGAUUACAUGGAAUACCAAUUGCGAAGGCAGGUUACUACUAAUGGAUUGACGCUGAUGGACGAAAGCGUGGGUAGCGAACAGGAUUAGAUACCCUGGUAGUCCACGCCGUAAACGAUGGAUACUAGCUGUUGGAAGCAAUUUCAGUGGCUAAGCGAAAGUGAUAAGUAUCCCACCUGGGGAGUACGUUCGCAAGAAUGAACUCAAAGGAAUUGACGGGGGCCCGCACAGCGGUGGAGCAUGUGGUUUAAUUCGAUGAUACGCGAGGAACCUUA